UCUGCAGCUCCUGGCCUGCGCGGCUUCCGGAUCCUUGGUCUGCGCUCCAGCGUGGGCCCGGCUGUGCAGGCACGAAGUGUCCAUCAGAGCGUGGCCACCGAUGGCCCAAGCAGCACCCAGCCUGCCCUGCCAAAGGCCAGAGCCGUGGCUCCCAAACCCAGCAGCCGGGGCGAGUAUGUGGUGGCCAAGCUGGAUGACCUCGUCAACUGGGCCCGCCGGAGUUCUCUGUGGCCCAUGACCUUCGGCCUGGCCUGCUGCGCCGUGGAGAUGAUGCACAUGGCAGCACCCCGCUACGACAUGGACCGCUUCGGCGUGGUCUUCCGCGCCAGCCCGCGCCAGUCCGACGUCAUGAUCGUGGCCGGCACACUCACCAACAAGAUGGCCCCAGCGCUUCGCAAGGUAGGCCUCGUCCCAGCCGCCCAGCCGCCCCCAGAGUGAGCUGCGCACGGACCCCGCCUCUCUUCCAGGUCUACGACCAGAUGCCGGAGCCGCGCUACGUGGUCUCCAUGGGGAGCUGCGCCAACGGAGGAGGCUACUACCACUACUCCUACUCGGUGGUGAGGGGCUGCGACCGCAUCGUGCCCGUGGACAUCUACAUCCCAGACUGAGCUCCUCCCUCCCUGCGGACCAUGCUCCUCCCUCCCUGGGGACCGCGCCCCUCCCUCCCUGGGGACUGCGCUCCUCCCUCCCUGCAGACCGCGCUCCUCCCUCCCUGGGGACCGAGCCCCUCCCUCCCAGCGGACCGUGCUCCUCCCUCCCUGGGGACCUCGCUCCUCCCUCCCUCCCUGCGGACUGUGCUUCUCCCUCCCUUGGAGCAGCCUGGACUUGCCAGAGCUCUGCCAGGUGGGGCCUGGCCGCCCUUUCCCAGGCCCUGCAGUGGCCUUGUCCUUUCUCACCUGUUUCCACUCCCGCUGUCCCCGUUGGGCCCUGGGCUUCGUCCUCUUGCUCAAGCCCUUUGCUCUGAACCUGCGUGGCAGCCGGGACUGGGGGAUCCCCAGCAAAGAGCUCUGGCUUGAGGCUCAGAAAGAGGGUCAUCGGGUCCUAGUGGGAUGCCCGGGCUCUGGGCCACCUCCCCUCCCUCCGCCCAGCCUCCCUGCCUCCAUCUCCGUCCAGGGCAGCCCCGGGCCCUGCUCCCCACGUCUGCUGAGCGCUGGCCCCCAUGGAGUCCUGAGGGCUGGGGCCGGGGGCCGGGUUAGUGAGGUCAGCGUCUUGUCCGAGAGGUCCCUGUGACAGCCCGGGAUGAGCCACGGGUGGAGGGCAGUGGGGCCUUGCCCAGGGGAGGACCCCACUCUUCCUGCAGGGACCUCCCCUGCGCCGGCUCCCAGCCCCUGGCACUGCGCCCACCCAGGGCUGUCAGCCUCCACCUUCAGAGGCCGGCCCGGGAGACCCCUCCAAAGCCGAGCCGGCUGCGCUGUGCACGCGGUCACGCGGGCUCCGGCUGCGGGAAGCGAGACUGAGGCAAGGUCCCUGCAGGCUGCCCACCUACGGCCGAGGCCCUGCUCUAUGGCAUCCUGCAGCUGCAGAGGAAGAUCAAGCGGGAGCGGAGGCUGCAGAUCUGGUACCGCAGGUAGCGCCGCCGCCGGAGCCUGUCGCUGUCCUGUCCCCAGCCUGCUUGUGUCCCGUGAGGUUGUCAGUAAACCUGCCCUCGGGCUGCCGCCUCCCA
rnacentral:sRNA from 1 species